UUACUGAGUUUACGCUCUAUAACCCUUUGUGAACAUACCUAUAACUGUUGCUUCGGCGGGUAGGGUCUCCGCGACCCUCCCGGCCUCCCGCCCCCGGGCGGGUCGGCGCCCGCCGGAGGAUAACCAAACUCUGAUUUAACGACGUUUCUUCUGAGUGGUACAAGCAAAUAAUCAAAACUUUUAACAACGGAUCUCUUGGUUCUGGCAUCGAUGAAGAACGCAGCGAAAUGCGAUAAGUAAUGUGAAUUGCAGAAUUCAGUGAAUCAUCGAAUCUUUGAACGCACAUUGCGCCCGCCAUCAUUCUGGCGGGCAUGCCUGUUCGAGCGUCAUUUCAACCCUCAAGCUCUGCUUGGUGUUGGGGCCCUACAGCUGAUGUAGGCCCUCAAAGGUAGUGGCGGACCCUCCCGGAGCCUCCUUUGCGUAGUAACUUUACGUCUCGCACUGGGAUCCGGAGGGACUCUUGCCGUAAAACCCCCAAUUUUCCAAAGGUUGACCUCGGAUCAGGUAGGAAUACCCGCUGAACUUAAGCAUAUCAAUAAGCGGAGGAAAAGAAACCAACAGGGAUUGCCUCAGUAACGGCGAGUGAAGCGGCAACAGCUCAAAUUUGAAAUCUGGCCCUAGGCCCGAGUUGUAAUUUGCAGAGGAUGCUUUUGGUGCGGUGCCUUCCAAGUUCCCUAGAACGGGACGCCAGAGAGGGUGAGAGCCCCGUACAGUUGGACACCAAGCCUUUGUAAAGCUCCUUCGACGAGUCGAGUAGUUUGGGAAUGCUGCUCAAAAUGGGAGGUAUAUUUCUUCUAAAGCUAAAUACCGGCCAGAGACCGAUAGCGCACAAGUAGAGUGAUCGAAAGAUGAAAAGCACUUUGAAAAGAGGGUUAAACAGCACGUGAAAUUGUUAAAAGGGAAGCGCUUGUGACCAGACUUGCGUCCGGUGAAUCACCCAGCUCUCGCGGCUGGGGCACUUCGCCGGCUCAGGCCAGCAUCAGCUCGCUGUCGGGGACAAAAGCUUCAGGAACGUAGCUCUCUUCGGGGAGUGUUAUAGCCUGUUGCAUAAUACCCUUCGGCGGGCGAGGUACGC
rnacentral:misc_RNA from 1 species